CCUACGGGGGGCAGCAGUGGGGAAUAUUGGACAAUGGGGGCAACCCUGAUCCAGCCAUGCCGCGUGUGUGAAGAAGGCCCUCGGGUUGUAAAGCACUUUCAGUGAGGAAGAACGCCUGGUGGUUAAUACCCAUCAGGAAAGACAUCACUCACAGAAGAAGCACCGGCUAACUCCGUGCCAGCAGCCGCGGUAAUACGGAGGGUGCGAGCGUUAAUCGGAAUUACUGGGCGUAAAGCGCGCGUAGGUGGCUUGAUAAGCCGGUUGUGAAAGCCCCGGGCUCAACCUGGGAACGGCAUCCGGAACUGUCAAGCUAGAGUGCAGGAGAGGAAUGUAGAAUUCCCGGUGUAGCGGUGAAAUGCGUAGAGAUCGGGAGGAAUACCAGUGGCGAAGGCGGCCUUCUGGACUGACACUGACACUGAGGUGCGAAAGCGUGGGUAGCAAACAGGAUUAGAUACCCGGGUAGUC
rnacentral:rRNA from 1 species